GCUGCGGUAGCCCAACUGGCAGAGGCCACGGAUUGAGAGUCCGUGCAGUGCGGGUUCGACCCCCGCCCGCAGCA
rnacentral:tRNA from 1 species